CCUAUGAAUCUGAACAAAAUCUGGAUCGUAAUCAACUCUUUGAUCUUUUUUUUAAUCUUCUUAUUUUCUUUUUUUUUUAAUCUCCUUCACUUGAUUUUGCAACAAUCAAGCUCUAAAAAUUAGCAACCAAGAGAGAUGCCCAACCUCCUUUGGGCGUUGAAGAUGGGGAUGCCCAACAAUGCUUGGGUGUUGGAACCAAGAGGGAGU
rnacentral:lncRNA from 1 species